GUGCAGUGAGCUCCCUUCCCGGCACGUGGAUUUUUUUUUUCAGUUUGUUAGAAGCCAGUGUAUGUCUUAAGCCUCUGCCAAAAAAAAAAAAAAAUUGUUAGAUAAUGAUCCUAAAAGUGUUCAGUUUAGGUUUUCCAAUGAUGAAAUUCAACACGCCAAUGCUCAAAUCCAGUUACCAGCACUCCUGCUAAAGAAAGCCUAAACAUGUAUUCUCCUUCUGUAUAAAGUGAUAUUGUCAUGUGUGGAAAGCCUGCCAUUCUUAAUGGGUAUUCCAGUGUUAUAGCUUAAAUAGUGAGGCAUUUACUUUAGAAAGAUAUCACUAACUAAAAACCGAAUUGACCUUACAUGGUGGCACACCCCUGUAAUCCCAGCACUCAGGAGGCUGAGGAAGAAGGAUGGAAAGUUGAGGGCCUGCCUCUUCUGUGUAGAGAGAGACUCUGCCUCAAGCACAAACAGGGCAGGGCCAGCAAGUGGCCCAGUAAAUGAAGUCACUUGCUGCCAGGCAUGAUGAUCUGAAUUCCAUCCCUGGAACACACUCCUGAAGGUUGGCCUCUUACCUUCACUUGAGCUCAUACAUAACAUGUUACAAAAUACAUAAAAUUUUCAGAAAUGGUCUGCAGAGAGAUGGUUCAGUAGUUUAAUAUGCUUGCUGCUUUUAUAGAGGUUACUUUUUAGCACCCACAUCAGGCAGCUCACAACUGCUUAUAACAGCUCCUGGGGAUCUGUCACCUUCUUUUGGCUUCAUUGGGUACCUUAGCACAUGUGGCAUAUAUAGAUAUAAAGAUAUACAUAAACAUAAAAAAAAAAUUAAGUCCUAAUUACUUAACACUUUUUUUUCUUUUUGGUUUUCCGAGACAGGGUUUCUCUGUGUAGCCCUGGCUG
rnacentral:lncRNA from 1 species